GUGACCUCAAAUCAGGUAGGACUACCCGCUGAACUUAAGCAUAUCAAUAAGCGGAGGAAAAGAAACUAACAAGGAUUCCCCUAGUAACUGCGAGUGAAGCGGGAAAAGCUCAAAUUUAAAAUCUGGCGGUCUUUCGGCUGUCCGAGUUGUAAUCUAGAGAAGUGCUAUCCGCGCUGGACCAUGUACAAGUCUCCUGGAAUGGAGCAUCACAGAGGGUGAGAAUCCCGUCUUUGACAUGGACUGCCAGGGCUUUUGUGAUGCGCUCUCAAAGAGUCGAGUUGUUUGGGAAUGCAGCUCAAAAUGGGUGGUAAAUUCCAUCUAAAGCUAAAUAUUGGCGAGAGACCGAUAGCGAACAAGUACCGUGAGGGAAAGAUGAAAAGAACUUUGGAAAGAGAGUUAAACAGUCGUGAAAUUGCUGAANGGAAACGCUUGAAGUCAGUACGUCGACCAGGAUCAACCCUGCUUUUGCUUGNGCACUUNCUGGUUGAUGGUCAG
rnacentral:rRNA from 1 species